rnacentral:rRNA from 1 species
AUGACCUCAAGUCAUGUGAGAGUACCCGCUGAACUUAAGCAUAUCA